UGGAGUAUAGCCAAGUGGAAAGGCGACGGUUUUUGAUACCGGCAUACGGUGGUUCGAUCCCACCUACUCCAG
rnacentral:tRNA from 1 species